AACUCUCCAAUUGUUCCUGUCGAAUAAGCUCGCUCCGUUGCCGGAGAAGGAAAAUGCUAGCUCGUCUAGCCGUCCGACGCCGGCGGAUGUACGCCAAACUUUCCGCCAUAUAUAUCGGGCAUCUUCUCUCACAUUUCCUUCCAUUCGUCGGUACGUGUCUAGUUCUUUCAUAAAAUCCGUAGUUUUCGUUUGAUUUCUUUUAAGGCUUCGCGAUCGUUCUGCUGCAGUUAAUUAUGUGAGUUUAAAUCUGCUUUGUUUAGUGUUUUGUUUUGUUGAUAUGAAUAAUUGAAUCCGUAAUUGCAUUUUUGUUUUUGUUUUUGCAUCGUUGCACCUGGAUACUCCCUCGAUUUCUGUUAAGGCUUGGCGAUCAUUUUCUGCUGCAGUUAACUAUGUGAUCUUAAAUCAGCAUCUUUUGUUUAGUGUUUUUUUUCUCGAUAUGAAUAAUUGAAUUCGAAAUUGCAUUUUGUUUUUGUUUUUGGCUAGUAGCAUCUCGAUGCUCCAUAUAACUACCCCGAUGUGUCUUGGGAGUCUUCAGGGGCAAACACUAGAAUGUUAACCUUUUUAGAACCCUAUGAAUUCAGGUGAAGGUGAUAUUACCUUGCUAUACAUCCAAUUACAAGUGAUCUGCAGUGAUUUGUUUGCUGGAUCAUGCACAUCAGCAACAAUGGGGAUGGCUUCCUGUUUCUGCAAUGAAUGCAGUGGCUAAGAUCAUUGAAGUUACUCCUAUUGGUGUAUAUUGGGCUGCACCCUUCUAUUCCAUUUUCUACAGAUCAAAGGGGGGUGCUUAAAAAAUGCUCCAAUGAUAUAUGCCAUAAUGGUUGCUGACUACUCUAAUGGAUCUGACGAAUAUAACUUGAACAAUUAUGAACAUCCAAAACGUGCUAUACACAAAUUGGUGAUGGGUGAAAAGCUAGAGCAGGGCACACAAAACCCGCAACCUGUGAAUUCUGAACCUGGAGGUGGGAAUACUACAUUAUUAGGGGGAUGACGUAACGCAGAUCCUUACUAAUAAGAUGGCUUUCUUCAUCCUCUCCCCAAUGAUUCGAUUUAAAUAAUAAAACCCCACUCAUAAGCCAACCACGCACGCUUGAAGAAAACAGAGGAUAGUUGAUGCCUGUUGGACUAAAAAAUCCAACUUUUUCUAUUCGUUCUUACACUAUGAAAUACAUUACAACUUUUGCAAAAUAUAUAUGUAUGUAGGCAUCCAUCCCUUUUAUCGGGCCCCAACAUCCACUAACACAACCAGAGUCCCCACUACAAAAGCGCUUUCUAUCAUCCACCACUACAGCCCCAGUCCCACCACGGACUAUAAAAAUUU